GACGAACCGUGCAAACGUUGUUCGGAAUCACUGGGCUUAAAGGGCGCGUAGGCGGCAGACCAAGUCCGGGGUGAAAUCUUUCGGCUUAACCGGAAAAGGGCCUUGGAUACUGGUUUGCUAGAGGGAGGUAGGGGUCUGUGGAACUUCUGGUGGAGCGGUGAAAUGCGUUGAUAUCAGAAGGAACGCCGGUGGCGAAAGCGACGGACUGGAUCUCUUCUGACGCUGAGGCGCGAAAGCGUGGGGAGCAAACAGG
rnacentral:rRNA from 1 species